rnacentral:rRNA from 1 species
AUUGAACGCUGGCGGCAGGCCUAACACAUGCAAGUCGGACGAGUGGCGGACGGGUGAGUAAUGUCUGGGAAUCUGCCUGAUGGAGGGGGAUAACUACUGGAAACGGUAGCUAAUACCGCAUACCAUCAGAUGUGCCUAGGUGGGAUUAGCUAGUUGGUGGGGUAAAGGCCGACCAAGGCGACGAUCCGUAACUGAUCUGAGAGGAUGAUCAGGCACACUGGAACUGAGACACGGUCCAGACUCCUACGGGAGGCAGCAGUGGGGAAUAUUGGACAAUGGGCGAAAGCCUGAUCCAGCCAUGCCGCGUGUGUGAAGAAGGUCUUCGGAUCGUAAAGCACUGUAGUGUGGGAGGCGGUACCAACAGAAAAAGCACCGGCUAACUACGUGCCAGCAGCCGCGGUAAUAC